GAUGAACGCUGGCGGCGUGCCUAAUACAUGCAAGUCGAGCGAACAGACGAGGAUCUUGCUUCUCUUACGUUACCGGCGGACGGGUGAGUAACACGUGGAUAACCUACCUAUAAGACUGGGAUAACUUCGGGAAACCGGAGCUAAUAUCGGAUAACAUGGUGAACCGCAUGGUUCAACAGUGAAAGACGGUCUUGCUGUCACUUAUAGAUGGAUCCUCGCCGCAUUAGCUAGUUGGUAAGGUAACGGCUUACCAAGGCAACGAUGCGUAGCCGACCUGAGAGGGUGAUCGGCCACACUGGAACUGAGACACGGUCCAGACUCCUACGGGAGGCAGCAGUAGGGAAUCUUCCGCAAUGGGCGAAAGCCUGACGGAGCAACGCCGCGUGAGUGAAGAAGGUCUUCGGAUCGUAAAACUCUGUUAUUAGGGAAGAACAAAUGUGUAAGUAACUAUGCACGUCUUGACGGUACCUAAUCAGAAAGCCACGGCUAACUACGUG
rnacentral:rRNA from 1 species